rnacentral:misc_RNA from 1 species
UUUAAAAAAAAAAAAAUCAUAGGAGGUGGUAUUCCAAGGUUUUGUUUUAUAAAUAGUUUUUUAAUUAUUAUUAUUAUAUUAUAUUUUAUAAUAGCACAAAAUAUCAUUAAAUGAAAUCUAAAGUUAGUUAUUAGACUUGGUGGGGCUUUCAUUAUUAAUUAAUAUGCGACAUUGCACAUGUGGCCCUUCUGGGUAUGGGCACUGCCGUUGCAAACUGCAUCAAUUAUAUGUCAAAUUUAAAUUUCAAUUAAAAAUCUAAUGGAAAACAUUGAGCGAGUAGCAGAGCAAACGCCCAUAAUAUAUAUGAUCGCCCUUUGGGAAAUGGGUCUUCCUUUUCCUAGCAGAAUUUUGCUGACUAUUGCCAGUAGUCUUUAAUGACUAGGUUAUGGUUGGACCUUGACUGUAGAUUUUAAUGGCCUGAUUGAAACUUGCAGAUGCUUACUCUAUCAACCGAAAGAUUCCAUAAAAUUCAGAAGGAAGCUCCCUUAGAUUGCCAGAGCUAUCUUGUCCAAGUCACCAAGUACCAGGCUGCCAGAAAUUGCAAGGUACGUGGAUCAUAUUUCAACAUUAUUCUAAGCACGUAACUGUGAACUAAUUAAUGGAAAUUACAGUACUGUUUCUGAAACUGAUUGGUUUGUAUGGUGGUAAUGAUAGAAUUGGAUUGUCGGCAAGUGGAUCACACCUGGAGAGCAAAGCUGGGCUCCG